UACGUAGGGUGCAAGCGUUAAUCGGAAUUACUGGGCGUAAAGCGUGCGCAGGCGGUGAUGUAAGACAGUUGUGAAAUCCCCGGGCUCAACCUGGGAACUGCAUCUGUGACUGCAUCGCUGGAGUACGGUAGAGGGGGAUGGAAUUCCGCGUGUAGCAGUGAAAUGCGUAGAUAUGCGGAGGAAUACCGAUGGCGAAGGCAGCCUCCUGGGCCAACACUGACGCUCAUGCACGAAAGCGUGGGGAGCAAACAGG
rnacentral:rRNA from 1 species